rnacentral:pre_miRNA from 1 species
GGAAUAUAAGAAACUGUCUCUUAAUUUUUAACUAAAAGAGCUAAAAACCGGCUCUUAAAUAAGAUAUUUAAGAACUAGUUCUUUUUUAGUUAAAAGUUAAGAAAUAGGUUUUUAUAUUCC